UGCGUAGGUGGCGGGGUAAGUCAGGUGUGAAAUUUCGGAGCUUAACUCCGAAACUGCAUUUGAUACUGCCUUGCUUGAGGACUGGAGAGGAGACUGGAAUUCACGGUGUAGCAGUGAAAUGCGUAGAUAUCGUGAGGAAGACCAGUGGCGAAGGCGGGUCUCUGGACAGUUCCUGACACUGAGGACAAGGCCAGGGGAGCGAAAC
rnacentral:rRNA from 1 species